CCGAAGCCCACACUCCGGAACACCCAAUCGUCCCGUAGAACGCCGCCGCGACACCCUCUCUGUCGACCCGCUCUUCUAUUCUUGCUUAAUCCAAAUUCAAGCGUGUGCAUAACCUCUGGUGAACCGAUGAAGCUAACUCGUGCUUCAAUUUUAGCAGCCAUGCCGUUAGUCGUUCGGAACACGAUCACCAGGGUCGUCUCGCCGCCGUGACCAUGAACAAGCUCCAAUUAGGGUUGAAUCCUUCAAAUUAAGCGAGGGCUUUUGACCGAAUAGGUUAGCAUACCACGUUUAUGCAUUUAUUACCGCUUGUUCGGACCACCUUUGCCGUAGAAUCGCGGCUCUGGUCUGGUGUUCGCCGCGGUUCCGCCAUGGACCCGGGGUGGUAAAGAAACAGAAUUAGAGGGGGCUUUUUGUGAGGUGUCGGUGACUCAGGGAAUAACCCACUGGAUGCGGUUCAAGUUAUUUAAAACACUAAGGACCUUUUCGCAAGAUCAGAAACGCGGGCACGCGCGGGCACGCUGUAACACCCCUGGUGUUACGAGAACUAAAAAUUUGACAUUUCAUCAUAUGCACUUGCAUUAACUUGCUUGAUACACCUAGAAUGCAUUCACUAGGGUAACAAAUUUGCAAAAGGGUGAGGUUGUGUCGUUUCGAAGAGAGCAAGAGAAGUUCAGAGACCUUGUUUGAAAUCUAGUACAAGAAAACAAAUUUUAAACCAAUGGAAAUUUGUACAUGAGAUCUAUACACUAAAGUUGGGUUUGAACUUAAAGUUAACCUUGUUUUUAGUAGGAUGCAAUAAAUUGAUGAAAUGCUUGAAGCAGAUCAAGUCCAAUUUCAACUCUAAACUAGCCCAAAAGUGGAUUUUAAGAUUUAGCUAAGUUUUGCUAAAAGUCCAUAUAUCAAAGUUGUGGACACUUGGAAAAGUGAACAAUUUUCAUAUUUGGAGCUCUCCAAGUGAUGUGGGAGAAUUUGAAGUAAUUUGCAAAAAUUCAGAUUUGGGUCAGUUGGAAUCAACCCAAAGCAGUUUUGUUUAUCUGUUUUUGAAUCCCUGUAACUUUUAAUCCAUGAGUAUUUUGGAAACAGUUGUUAUAACAAACCUAUAGAGUAACUAUAGGAUAACAAUGUUUAUGAAAUGUGAUAGCCCUAAAACCAUAUGAAACUAGGAGAAAAACUGGUCCAAGCACGAGCUGAUAGAAAUUGUGGUUUUCAGACUUAGUGCAAUAACCUGAAUCUGAAUUUUAGUGUUGUGAGUGCAGUUUUGGAGCUUCUUUGUGCCUAAUCCAUAAGGUUUUGGACUGUAGGUUCUAUAAAAUAAUUGAAGACAAUAUAUUGGUGAACAAAUCUCUUUGAGAAGGUUUGGCUUGGGGAUUUAUGGAAAAUAGAGUGAAAGCUGUCCAAAAAUGGACUAUCAGUUUGCACUGACUGAAUUUUUGUUCAGAUUAGCUGAAAAUUGAAUUGCAGCAGGUUGCUCAGUUUGGAGCUGUUUUGUUAUCAAUAUGAGUGGUUUUAGACUGUAGUUUCUAUAGGAAACUUGGAGACCACAGUAUGGUGAAUACGUUUCAUAAGGUGAGAUUAACAUGGUGCUGCAUAAAAAGUAGAGUAAUUUUUGCCUAAAGAUCAGUUGUCAGGUGUUGGGGAUUUUCAGACAGUAAAACAUCUAAGUCUGAAUCUAUGUGUUUUUACCCACCUUUGGAGCUUUGUGGUAAUUAAACCAAGGAUAUUUGGGUUAAAAAUUCUAUAUAAAAAUGAAAUACCAUAUCAAGGUGAACAAGUCUCUUGAAGUGGGUGUGCCUUGGUGCUGUACAAAAUUGGGGGUAAAUUGUCUCAAAAUGUUCCUUAUCAGGUUCUUGUUUCAGAUAACUGAAACAGAAAGUUCAGUGAGUUUGGAGGGAUUUUGGGGCAUAGCAACUUUUGAUCUGUGUGCUUUUAACCCUGAAUUUCUAUAGUGAGUUGGUAGAGUUUUGUUUUGUGAGCAUACUUUGUUAGCCUUGGUUGACCUGUUGCCUUUGAAAAUAGUAAGAUAAAGGGGAGUGAAUCGGAAAGGUGCAGGUGGUCAGUGUGAGUUCAAACUCAUUAGGUUUGGAGCUUGGUUUAGUGAUCUAAGAAGAGACCAGUACGGAGCUUAUCCACUACUGCUAUGUUCCAGUUGCUGCCGGUUAGAUUGGGAUGUGGGUGAGUUUUGGCACCAGGGGUAAGCGAGUGUAUUAAGGUUCCAAAUAUCUACGCCUAGGAUGGACCUGAGCUUAUCCAAGACGGCACCCACCUUGCUUGUUGUCUCUGGUUUGACCACUACGAGCCCAAGUCUGUUGUUUCGUCGUGUACUGAUCCUGCGUGGUGCUUAUGUAAUAAAGUCGCGUGUCCAUGCUCGUGUAAGCUGUUGGUAGUGCUUGUAUGUAGUUCCCCCUGGGAUAAGCUUCACCGUGACCAGUGGGUGGACAAUCUUUGUUAUCUCUAUGUCGCCGUGACCAAACUCGCCUAAGGUGUUUCUCGGCCGUCUUCUAGUUUCUAGCCAACUCACCGACAUGUUUCCCAUGUCUGUGCCCCACGUUCGUGUAAAACCAGAUUACGCCGCUGUCCGAGACUGCCGUUUGUUGUCGUUGUCUUUGAAAUUGUGAUCACGCUGCCGGCGUCUCGCCCCUCCGUGGCCAGGACUUGGAGAACGCCGUGGCGCCGUCGGUGAACACCGUCUGGAAUGACCUCACCAUGGCGGACCUAGUCUGGAGCUGGUUGCGAGCACGCUCAUGGGUUGUUCCGCUUCGUGGUGAGCCACUGAUGCUACCCAGUUGCUGAUUGGAACUCUACUGCGUCGUGUUCCGUGUUGUUGUUGCCGGAGUUUGGCGUUGCAGCCAGCGCGCAGAGGGAGCGCGAAGCUGGAGCCUAAAGCCGAGAAGUUUUAUUCCCUUAUCUUUUGGUUAGUUACUUCAUGUGGAGGCCUUGAAGCUUAGAAUGUUUAUGUGUAUCUCUUAUGGAAAGGCUUCACCCUUCCAAUUAUUAUAAUAAGUUAUGCACUUUGGGUACUAUCAGGACUUGUAAUAAUUACAAUUCUUCUUAUGUUGUAAAACUUGAGCUUUGGAAAUGUAAAAUAUGUUUUGUAAAGUCUUCCGCUCUAUCUCCGAAGUGUUUGUAUCGAGUGUGAUUACUGUAAUAUGCAUGAAUGUGGGAGAUCCUUGGGAUAAUGAGUUCGAGUUGUUGAACU